GGAGAGAUGCCGGAGUGGUCGAACGGGGCGGUCUCGAAAACCGUUGUGGGUUCUGCCUACCGUGGGUUCGAAUCCCACUCUCUCCG
rnacentral:tRNA from 1 species